AGGCUGCAGCCUUCGCCCGAGCCUCCUCCCUUCGCCCCGCCCCUCGGCACAGGGGACGUGCGCUGUGCAGCCGGCGCUCUCUGAUUGGCUGCCGCGUCAGGGUUCCACGCCGCCAUUGUGCCGUGGGCGGCCGUCAGCGCCUGCGUGCACAAGGUGGGGAACGGGCUUUGGGAGUUUCUGGAAGUCGGAGGCGGGGGAGUGGUCACUCGCAGCCAGCGCAGGCGGGGCCAGGCACAAAGUUGAGAGCAGUCCCUAGUCUGAGUGUUUCCGUCGCCCUCCCGCACCGUCGGUACCACGGACUCCACCCUGCAGCGGCUCCUCGGCGACGCGGUGCAGCUGCCACUUGACCAGAUUCUCCAGCCUUCCCGGGAGCCGCACCACCUGCUGUCUUGGCACUUCAUGAGUCCAAUGCUGCUUCCCAAGAGGAUCUGGUUGGUAGACCAUGACCUUGAUUCCUGCCUCUAAGCCUUGCUUUAUUCUCAGAGCCACCACCUUUUUGGUACUAGAACAGUGCUUUUUCUAGUACACUCAUCAGUGGAUGCUGAAAUCACAACCUGGCCAUUUGGAUGUUCAACUAAUGCUUUAUGCCGCAGCAUCCCUGGAACUCACCGGAGCUCAGGCCCUGUGCCAGGCACUAGGCAUGCCCUCCAGGGAGCUCCAGAUUUGGACACGGACAACGACAGCUCAGAGAGACAGAGGAACCUGGCCUAAGUCUAAUGGGCCCUUCUGUCCACUCCCAGGACCCCCCAGUCCUUUGCAGAACAGAAAUGGGGGUGACGCUGGCUCAGCUUAAACGGCUGCAUCAUCAGUUCCAGCCUCUACAAGUGUGCCAGGCUGGGUGAGGCAACGCCAGGCACCAGGCACUGGGUGGUAUCAUCAUCCCCAUUUUGCAGAUUAAGAGAUGAGGGCAUGGAGAGGCGGAGGUAUUUGCCCAGGGCCACACAACUGGCAAGCAGCAGAGGUGGGAUCCAAACACUGGAAAAAGCUUGGUAAGGAAGGGGCCAUUCUGUCUCUCUCUGGGACGUUGGGAGGAUGAAACUAACAAAUGCCCAUGAACCCUUCAAAGGGGGCUGGCACAGGGCAGGCACUGGACAAGCAGGAGCUUUGAUUCUGACCCAAGACUGCAGGACAGAAAGACAGGUCAGAAGCCAGACGCUAAUCCAGGGCGCCUGUCCACACCCACCCUGUGAUUGGGAAGGCAGAGACUGCUCAGCAGACCUGGUUACAGCAAUUACAAGUGAAGCCUUUGUAAACUGUGAAGUGGUGGCGAAACCAAAGGCCUGACCCUCCCCAUCUGCCCUGCACACAGCGGGUCCUCUGCACCCCAGGAAUUGGACAGAGGGGACAGAAUAUGGAGGGAGGUCUUCCCCAUCCACUCCUUACCUGGCUGGAGAAGGGCAGGCCCAGCCUCUGAAGAGCGGGCACUGUGUGGCUGGCAUUGGCCACCAUCUGCAGCGGGCCAUGCAGUGGCCAAGCCACCAGGGCUGCCAGGUCCACGCUGACACCACCAUCCCUGCCACGGAGGGCCACGUUGGCCUGGGUCUGGGACUCGAGACAGAAAAUGGCACAGGCUACUGAAGACAGGUUCACCUUCCUUCCCAGCCCAAGAACACACCAGACUUUAGGAGGGGCCAUGCCCUGUGGCCCUAAAACACAACACCAGCGGGAAAGGUGGGGUCAACCCCUUUUGAGCCUCCUUGACAUCAUCUGUCAUCAUUUGUCCCUGAGGAUCUAGGCCUGGGUGGCUCCUCCUUUCAUUGAAGUUGAAGUUGUUGAAAUGAUACCUCCUCCAAGAAGCCUCCCCUGACUACCCCUCUGAAGUGCCUCCCAAUUCUUUGCUGCCAGGCAUCCUCCAUCCAUCUCCCUGGAGUGGGGUUCCCAGCACAACCCAAAAUGACCUCACUCAUUUACUUACUAGGUUCCUGCUCCCCUACUGCCACUCCAUGAGAAUGCCAGCCCCCCGGGGGUGGGGUUUCUCUUAGGACAGCCCCUGACACACAACAGGGGGUCAGUGAGUAUUUUCCGAAUGACUGAGGGAGGCUGCUUCUCUGUAGGAAUUCUUGGGGAUUCUCUGAGCAGCCUACAGAUGAAUCAGCAUGAGGUCUGCUCUUGAUAAAUGGCCGCUGUGGCCCAAUACCCACCUGCAGCCACCUGGCCCUGGCUGGAGGGUCCCAUGCCUCCCAUCACCCCCCACAGAAGAGGAGAGUCUGGCUCACAAUAGGAGUUUCUUCUUGGACUUAAAUUCCCACUGCUACACAUAGAAACCCAGCGGGUCCAGGAGCCCCCCAAGCAAACAGAUGGCACCUACUCUAUGUCAGAUGCCAGAUUCCCGUGGGGUGCAGCUCAUGGCUCAGGCCCAAGUGACACUCAGCCAGGCUCCAGCACCUCCCAUCUGGCCAGCAGAGUGGAUAAGCCCCAUAGCUCUGAGCCUCAACUUCCUUAUCAAUAAGGUGGGCACAGCCUGCCCACCUCAAGGGACAGUAUCCAGAGUAAAUGGGGUAACACAUGGGAGAGGACUACCUGUGAGGCAUGCAGGAGGCCUGGGAAACUCUUCCUUCCUUCCUUCCUUCCUCAUUCCACACUGAACCAUGUGUACCUACUACGUGCAGGCCAAGAGGAGGGAGGGGACACAAUUCCCACUCCCAGGAGUGCCUGGCUGUCAGAGAUACCAAGAAUAUUAACAGGCAGAAAGUGUCCCCAAGAGGGGGUACAUCAGACUGUGGACAGCCAUGGGAGGAGGGAGAGGUCACUCCUGGCUGGGGGCGGCCACACCAGGCAUCCUGGGCCAGGAAUUGGAGCGGCGUGAAAGUGUUCAUCCAGAAUGACCUCCCGUCACUCCAUCACUUCUCCCCAACAAAUUCUGAGGUCAGCUCAGACUAGCGACAAUUUCCUCAUGUGACCCAGUCCUCCGUUCACCCCUCAGGAGGCUGAGGGCCAAAAAUAAAGUUUUCGUUGGUUUUGUUUGUUUAUUUUUUUUGAGAUGGAGUCUCACUC